GGAGUUAGUGGUUAUUUGUGGGUGUAGGAUUAUUAAUUUUUUUCUACAUCUUUCUCAUUUGUAUCUUCUUUAGUAUCAAUUGCCUGUAAUAAGAAAAACCCAACAUUCUUAGAAAUACUUAUUCAACAUGAAUACUUAUUCAAAAUAAUGAGCUCAUCAUUUGUUUAUUCAUUAAUUCAAGAAAUAUUUACAGCAUUAAGACAUAACUCUUAAUUUGUGAGAAAAAAAAGGGGGGGCAUGAUCAACAAUCUUGGAAAUUUUUUAUUCCUCUCUUUCAUUCUCAAUACUUAUUUGCCCAGUCAUUCCCUCCCUUAUUUACUGAGGACUUUGGCACUUGGUUCUAAUAUCUACCUCCCCUGCAUUUUCUGCCAUCGUGUGCCACUUCAGUGUCCUUAUGGACAACCCAUCCGACAAUCUUGAACUCUGACUCCACCAGCUUAUAACCACUGCAUUCUGCAGUCCACACCCAAAGCCACAUUCUCAACCUUCUGAGCACCAGGAAAUUAAUUGUUCCACAGCCUUAGACUCCAAUAUACUGAUCUCUGACCACAACCACUUACCAUUCCAGUUUUUAUCACUCCAUUACUCCCUAAACACCUGCUUUCUUACCUUAUUUUAACCUCCACUCCUCAACUAUUCCCUUUUGUUUUCAAACCACAAUCUCCCACACAGCUUCAUAUCUUUUCCUAUCCAGCCUAGAUUCCUAGGUGCAUCAGUCUCUCCUGCUAAUAACCAUGCUCCCUGGAUAAUUCCCUCUUCCUUAGAGCAUAUAUUUUAUAACAUCUUACAUCAAUUCAAACUUGCUAUUUCACCUAUACCCUUAUCUUUUUUAUGUCUCCUUUAUCAGCAAAAAAAAUCAAUACUAUCAGCCAUGAACCUCCCUCACCUUCUUGCUCCACAUUUACACGUUAUACAUAUAACUAUCUUCACUUCCUUCCUUCUAAUCUCAGAGGAAGAAGUAUCCUUUCUCUUUUCCCAGGUCAAUCCUCUACCUGCACCUUUCCUCCUACAUUGCUUCCUCUCCUAGAGAUCUUGCUUUACUUUUAUCCCUCCUCUUUUUAAUCUCCUCUCUGCUCACUCUUUCCCACAUUUUAUAAAUAUAUUAAACUCUUCACUGUAGAAUCUCCUCCUCGAUUCUGUAACCACCUCCUCACAACUAUCAUCCUUUAUUUCUAUUUUGAAGAAGAAAUGAAGAGCUUUGAAAUAAUAUAAAUCUAUUGUAACCUUUCUCAAUUUUAAUAUACUUUUCACCCCAACACAAACAAAAUUCUGCCACCUCAAUGCAAUGAAAGUGUUCUGGCAAACAUUACUAAUUACAAAAUUGCCAAAUGCCAUGAUCUUUUUCAAUUUAUUUGACCUGUCUUUAUCUUGACACUCCUGACUUCUUUCCUUCUGAAUCCUCCGUCCCAUUGGCUGCUAUUUCUUCUCAGUUCUUUUGCUGCCUCCUCUUACUUUGCCUAUUUACUAAUGUUGGUUCUCAUUUCCUCUCACUAUAUUCAGUCUGUAUGAGCAAUAGCAUCCAUUUCCUCCAUAAUUUCAACUAUCACCUCUUUAGUGAUAUCUCCUUCCAGCCCAGGCCUUUCUAAGCCUCAGACAUAUAUGUUGUGCUCCCUACCGAACAUCUCUACAAAGCUAUCCCAUUGGCACUUAAUCUUCCAUAUUCAGUAUGUCCUCAUUGGGCGUCUCAUCUUCCUCCCCUUUUCCAGUUUUUCCAUCCCACACCCUUAGACACACAAACACACACACCCAAAAGCCCUAUUCUUCCUCCGUAUGUCUCUAUCCUGGUUAAUUAUACUACUAUUGUAUUCUACAAGCAAGUAAGGGACUAAAGAGUCAUUCUAGACAGAGCCUUCCUUUGUCAACUGGGAAGAAGGAAGAAAGUGGUAUAUUGUUAAGGGGACUUCAGAAGCAAUGCCUUCCAAUCAUUCCUUAUUUUUUUUCUAUUUUCUUUAAUGCACGUGUGUUUUAUAAUUAGGGAGAAAUGUUCAAAAGUGAGUCCACAGGUCUAGUUUGAAGGACAAAUAAAAGUUAUGUAUCUUACAUUGAAUGACUUAGAAGCAGCUUUGAACUUUAUCAUAAUUAACUGUAUGUCCUAACAGUUUUUACAUCUAAAGGAUUAAACUCUUUAGGAAUUUCAAUUCCUAUAAAAGGAAAGGAAAUUUGAGUAUAAAUAAGGGUAGAUGGGGGGAUCAUUAGAUUUAGCCAUAUGGUACAAGAAUUUCUUGUCAGGAAAAGGUUUGGUACAUACCAUACUAUGUUAGUAGUUUUGCAGUUUAUUAAAAGUAUUGCAGUUAGAGUCACAUCAGCUUUGGAAUGUUUUGCCAAUGGCAUAAACAUCUAAUUGUAAAAAAAUACCAUGCUUAUAAAAAUGCAUCCUCCCAAAGAAGAAAAAAGUUCUUUGAUUAAGUAUGUAUGAUACUUCCCUACAUGGAAAGCUGAAUGAAUUUAAUCUGUUUCACAUCAAACCUCUUAUUUUCCUUUAAGAGUUUCUUUAAAAUUAGGUAUAUGGUCUGUAUAUACCAUCCUGAGUUCACUGGGUCAAAAGUUAACAGUAUGGGGUCAUCAAGUAAAUUAAAUGUUAACAGCAAAAAUUAAAGGACUUAAAUUAAAAACAUAGGGCCUAAUCCUAUGAUGAAGAAAAGUCAGGAAAAAGUGUUCCCACAAGAGCUGUAAACUGUUCACCUAUUUAAAAUAAAUUACUUCUUCAGAGCUGCCUUAAAAAGUUAAUUUGUUUUAAACACAUAAGCAUUUCUUUGCCAAAAGAGAAUGUGCUGUAUUUUAUUUUCCUUAUUUCCCUAUAGAUUUGUUCUACAAGAAAUAAUUUUUAUAUAUUAAGAAUAGAAAUGUAACAUGAGGCUCAGCUGUCAUAGAGAACUGGUCACACAUCCUCACUCAUAUCUCCUAGAGACCAGAGGGUCUCAAUUUUACUUCCGUUUACUAAAAAUAAAUAAGAAAUGAAGGUUAAUAGAUUCCUGCUUCCUGGUCCUCUUCAAUUUCCAGGACAAAGCUUAUCCCAAGUCUCUGAGAAAGUCAUGAGUUGUAAUUUUUAAAAGUUUUUUUACUCAAGGUAAAGUUUAUUUUAUUCAAACCCUUCAAUUUUCUGUUUUUUUUUUUCUUCUUCUUCUUCUCCCCAAAUCCCCCCCAGUACAUACUUGCAUAUUUUUUCACUUGUGGGUCCUUCUAGUUGUGGUAUGUGGGACACUGCCUCAGCAUGACCCAACGAGCGGUGCCAUGUCCCCACCCAGGAUCCGAACCGGUGAAACGCCGGGGCCACCAAAGCGGAGCCCAUGAACCCAACUACUAGGCCACAGGGGCCAGCCCUGACAGGAUUUUAUAGUUGUUUUUUAAUGUAUCAGUUAGCUACAGGGAAAAGAAAUUAUCAAAGUUACUAGACAAAACAAAGAUAAUGUCAAGCCAUGCUGUGGCAGCAUCUCACAUAAAAUAAAGGAGGAUUGGCACAGAUGUUAGCUCAGUGACAGUCUUCCUCAAGCAAAACAGGACGAUUGGUAACAGAUGUUAGCUCAGGGCCAAUCUUCCUCAAAUAAAUAAAUAAAAAUAAAAAGAGAAUGUGGAUGGGUGAAUUUGUGGGGAGAAACUCAUCAUGUUCCUACCAAGAAGUUUCAGUAAUGUAGUAUAGGCUUAUUAUGAUUUCAGUAGUACACUAGAUGCUGUAUCUAAUUAAACAGUUGUCCAUCUUGAGGUCUGACACUUCACAGACCUAAAAAAAAUAAAAAAGUACUUUUUAUGAAUUUGUUAAACAAAAAAGGUAAAGAAAAUACCUAGAUUUGGUAUUUUUACCAAUAAUUACAUGUGUAUAUACAAAUAUAUACACUUAACGUGAUUAUGUUUACUUUGAAAUUUUCAUGUAAAUAUUAAAUUUGAAAAAGUGAAGACUCAUAGUAGAAAAUAAAUAGCUAUGGAUAUAUGACACAGAUUAGAAACAUUUUCAAACUAGCUGUAUUAAACCUUGUCCUUUUUGCCUUUAUUACAAUUCUUCUAGUUUACUAGUUACAAUAUUCCUGGAAGGGAAAAAAAUCCUAAGCAUAGCUAUUUAUAGCACAAUGUUUUAAAUAUAGGAUAAUAAACAAAUACAAAACAGUCCUAAAACAGAAUACCUUUCAUAGUAGAUACUCAGUAAACAUCAAUUUAUUUCAAUUAGAAAACAGCCUUCACAUUCAAUACAGAACAAAUAUUUACCGUUUUAUAUUCUUUACAAUUUUAAUACACACAUUAUAAGAAUACACAGAACAUAAUACAGUAAAACAAGUAAUUCUUAAAUUUGUUCAGGUAGCAGAGCAAUUGGUGAUCCUGUCUCUCUUUGCUGAGUACUGUUCAUUCCCAUUAAAUAUUUAUCAAUGCCAGUAACUGUGCUGAAGACACAGUACAAGGACAUAGUCCUGGCCAUUAUGAAACUCUCAAGACGAGGAACCAUAUCUCUAUAUAUGUAUGUACGCAUAUACACUACCACAGCCACACAUCAACACACAUACAAAAUGGCUGUUUAAAUAUAUUACUUUUCUGCCGCUACUAUAACAAAUUACCAUAAACUUACUGGCUUAAAACAAUAGAAAUUUAUUAUCUUACAGUUCUGGAGGUUAGAAUGGGUCUCAAUAGACUAAAAUCAAGUAGGCAGAGAGACAUUCCUUUCUAGAAUCUGUUCUCUUGCUUAUUCCAGCUUCUGGAAGCUGCCCUCGGUUCUGGCUUGGCUCAUGGCCCCCUUCAUCUUCAAAGCCAGCAAUAGCUGCUUGAGUCUUUCUCACACCUCAUCUCUCUGACACUUAUUUUUUUGCUUCCCUCUUCCACAUUCAGAAGAACUUCAUAAUUAAAUUGGGCCUACGCAGAUAAUCCAGGAUAAUCUAUCUUUAGGUUAUCUGAAUAGCACUCUUAAUUCUAUCUGCAACCUAAAUACCCCCUUGUCGUGUAACAUAACGUAGUCACAAUUCUGAGGGUUAGGAUAUGGGCAUCUUUGGGAGUAUCAUUACUCUGCCUACUAUAUUUAUAAAUAGUUUCUCCUCUGUUUUUCUUCAGGAACUCCACCAACCAUCAUCCAUCUCUGAAAUUAUAUGCAAACUGUUCAUGUAUGCACAUGCUUCUAGACAAAGGGCCUAUAACUUUCAACAAAUUCUCAACAUUUCACAAUCACUGGACUAGCUCAUAGAACACCAGUGUUCCUUAGAAGUAUAGUUUGGCAGUGUCAACAAAAUAUAUAUUUUUAACUUUGACCAGAAAACUUUGAUAUGGGUUGAAAAUUCUUUCUUGUAUUUUUUCUGUUUUUAGAAGUAGUUCUAAUCAUCCUAAUUACACUUUACAUUUUGCACUUAAAACAUUUUCCAUGUUGCUAUGCACGAUUCUCUGAUGAUGCUAAUAGUAAAUCCAGUGGAUUUUCCACAAUCUACUCAAUAAUCUUACUACUAUUAGACAUUUCAUCUCCCCCUUUUUUGCUAUUAUAUUUAAUAUGCUGGAAUGAGCAUCUUUCUGCAUAGAUCUUUUUCCAUAUUUUGGAUUUACUUCACCUAGACUAGGUUCCUGAAAUUGGAAUUUGUGACAGGAAAGAUAUGAAUAUUUUUAUAACCCUUUUUAAAUAUUGCUAAAUUACUUUCCAAAAGAGCUGUUUUAAUUUACAUUUACUCACUCAGACCAUCAACAUGAGAAGGGUUUCCCUUUGUGCACUGAAAAGAUUAUUCAGAGGUCAUUUAAAUUUUUAUCAAAAUUAAGAAGUAAAAAACUUAGCUCUUCCUUAACUUUUAAAUUCAACUUGAAAAUCUGGUUAUACUUGUUAAAUUUUUUUUUUCUCUCCCCAAAGCCCCAGUACAUAGUUGUAUAUUUUAGUUAUAAGUCCUUCUGGUUCUUUUAUGUGAGCUGCUGCCACAGCAUGGCUACUGAUAGAUGAGUAGUGUGGUUCCAUGCCCAGGAACCAGACCUGGGCAGCCAAAGUAGAGUGCGCCAAACUUUAACUGCUACGCCAUCAGGGUUGGCUCUAGUUUUUGUAAAUUUUAACAGCAAUCACUUUUAAGAGGGCUUUUUAAGGUCCUUUAAACACUUAGUAUUUAGAAUUUCAUAACUUCUAUUUCCUUAAGUACUUAAUGUUUGAUUAAUAAACAAAACCUCUCUGAGUAAACUCUUUUAAAUCUAAUAAAUUAAACCUAUAAAUACAGAGAAUCUUAAGUUCUUUUAAAUGUCUUGAUACCUUGCAUAACCAUAGUUAAAUUCUCUUAUACCUAUUUCAAGAUUAAUCUCAUAUAUACUCUAAUAGGUCUAAUUUUCUUAAAUACUACAAGAACUUAAAAUACUUAGGUCAUUCCUAAGCCAUAAUAGUAUGUGCUUGAUUUACUAAAUCAUACUACAUGUAAUUUUAUAUCUUCCUGGGGUUAAAACUGUGACCCACUGGGAGAAACUGUGUCAUCUCAAGCAAGUUAUGGUUGCCAUCCCAAGCACUGAAGUUAAUUAUCAGAGCCCCCCAAAAGGAGUGAUCUUACAGACAUAUCUCCCAGAUUCAAAUUACACAUAACCUAAUUCUUCCAUCUACCACCAAGAUUGUAGCUAACUUUCAUCACCACUUAGUUCAUUUUGUGUAUCUUUGGAUACCUUAGGGUCAUCCAAUUGGAUUCACCAUAUCUUUCAAGUUCUAUGACUAUAGUCACAAUGCUAAAGUCAUGCUAAUUAAUGGGAUCUCAUGUUUUAUGGAACAAGAAAAGCAAAUGCUUUAAAAAAUAGAUUUGUAAGAAUUGUGUGGCCAAUCAGUCUGAUAAAGACAGACCAGUCUUUUAACAAUACAUGUCCUCAACUGUUGAUUUAAAAAAAUAAUUCAGGGGGCCAGCCCGGUGGUGUAGUGGUUAAGUUCAUGUGCUCUGCUUCAGUGGCCCAGGGUUUGGCAGUUCAGAUUCUGGACAUGGACUUACUCACUGCUCAUCAAGCCAUGCUGUAGUGGCAUCCCAUAUACAAAGUAGAGGAAGACUGGCACAGAUGCUAGCUCAGGGACAAUCUUCCUCAAGCAAAAAGAGGAAGAUUGUCAACAGAUGUUAGCUCAGGGCCAAUUUCCUCACCCAAAAAAUAAAUAAAUAAAUAAUUCAGUAACAAUGAGAGAGGAUGGUGAAAACUUACAUAUCUCUUCUUUACAUUUACUUUGAUGUUGUGCCUUUUCAAAUAUUUGUUAGUUUUGUAUUUGUUUUUCUUCUUUUGUUAACUGUAUAUCUGUUAACUAUUCUAUUUUCCUUAUAAACAUGUCUUUAUAUAUUGAUAUGUAAAUAUAUAUAUGGAAACAUAUAUAUCUAUAUAUAAUCUCUUUAUAUAUAGAUAUAUAUCUCUUUAUCUGCUUUAAUGUUAAAAAUAUUUUUCAGUUUGUCAUGUAUCUUUACAAUUUAGAGUGGAAUUUUCCCUGUGUAUACAUUUUUUGUGUAGCUACCAAACAGUGUUCUCCAAGAUUCUGUGUUAGACCUUUUUAUCACUCUACAUACCUCCCUCAGUGAUCUCAUCUAAUCCCAUAGUUUAAACUACCAUCUAUAAUAGGUCAACUAGUAAAUCUAUAGACAACAAGCAAACCAGACCUUUCCUCUACAUUCCAGACUUCUAAAUCAAAAAUCCAAUCCUAAUAUCCAAUUAGCUUUAUUUUUUUUUUAAAGAUUUUAUUUUUUCCCUUUUUCUCCCCAAAGCCCCCCAGUACAUAGUUGCAUAUUCUUUGUUGUGGGUCGUUCUAGUUGUGGCAUGUGGGAUGCCGCCUCAGCGUGUCCUGACGAGCAGUGCCAUGUCCACACCCAGGAUUCGAAGCAACAAAACACUGGGCCGCCUGCAGCAGAGCACACGAACUUAACCACUCAGCCACGGGGCCAGCCCCUCCAAUUAGCUUUAAAGUGAGGAUGGGAGGAUGUACUUAGCCCAUAGGCAUCUCAAAAUCAACAUUGCACAUAUCAAAAUUCAUCAAACUUGUUCUGUUUUCCCUAUCUCAGAAAAUGGUACCAACAGCCACUCAGUUGCCCACACCAGAAACCUAGGAGUCAUGCUACAUACCUCCUUCUCUCUCCUCUCCAUAUACAAAGGCUCCUAACCUCUUUAGUUUUACCUUUCAACUUUCUCCAUCCUUACUUACUCUGCUCUAGCCAUGUGGGAAUUGAAUUUACUGGUCCCUCCUGCUCAGGACAUUAACAUAUGCUCUUCCUUUGCCUAGAAUGUUCUUCCUUUCUUUUUGGCCUAGCUAAUUCCUAAACCUCAGCUUAACUGUCACACCUUAGGAAGGCUUUACGUAAAUCCCUACUGUUAGGUCCCCAUGGUGUAUGCUUUCAUGGCAUCCUUUAUUUUUCUGUUAUAGUAAUUAUCAUAGUUGUAACUUGUAGAUUAAUAAUUUAAUCUUUGUUUCUCUCACUAACUACACUCUAAAGGGAGGAACAGUGGCUGUUCGUUCACCCCUAUAUGCUCAGUACCUUGCACAUGACACAGAGUAGGUGCUAAAUAGUUACCAGGGAAUACUUACAUAUUAAUACAGAAUAAAUAAAUCCAAUCUCUGUUAUACUUCAUUUCACCCCAUUUCUACGUCUUUAGUUCAAGUACUCUCUAUUUCUUGCCUGGAUACUACAAUAGCCUCUGAAGGACGCUCUACCACCGCUCUUGCAUUUUCUAAUCUGUUCUCCAGUACCCUUGUUAAAGUGAAGUUCUAAAAUAUAAAUCUGAUCAUAUUACUCAUUAGGUUAAGAUUUUUCAAUUGCAUCAAUUUAAAGGUGACAUGACAAUAUAAACCCUUUAUGGUUGAACCUCUAUCCACUGGAUCAGGUCAACCUUUCUCAACUCUUCUAAAGGCACCUAGGCAACAAACCACAGAAAGUACCUGAAUUUUCUUGAACAUGCCAGGUUGUUUCUGACUUCUCUGUUUUCUUACACUCCAGUACGUCUGCCUAAAAUGUUUUCUAUGGCCUAUUUCUACUGUCUCUUACACUGGGAUAACUCCAGUCCUUUAAGGCUCCACCAAGAUAUCCUUCAAGACAGCUCCACCAAAGUAUUCUUCAAGACACAACUCAAGAGUCACCUCCUCCUGAAAAGCUUUCCUGAAAACCUAUUCCUAACCAGGGUUAAAUAUUCUUCCUCUAUAUUUAUCAAAUUAUAAUUUUUAAAGAAUUUAUCUUUCUUCCAUUAGACUUUCAGCUCCUUGCUAACAGGGACUACAUGUUUUUCAUCUCUGUAUAUCAAAUUCUGGUAUGGACUUUGGUAAAUGUUUGAUUAAAUCUGUGUACCAGUACACAUCAAAUCCAUCAAAACAUACCUACCUUUUGGGAACUGGUAUUCCCACUUCUGGGAAAUCUUCCAAUAAAUAAGCAAAUAAAGUCAAUUAGGAAAGGUAUAUGCAUAAAAAUGUUCACUUCCCAAUUAUUUAUAAUAGCAACAAAUUGGAAACAACCUAAAUGUCCAGCAGAAGAAUGAUAGAAUCUGUUAAAUGAUAUGUAGCAGAGUAAUUUAGAAUAAAGAUUGUAAAAAUGAUAUAGUAACUCAGAUGCUUAUGACAUGUUAAUUGGAAAAAGACAAAACUGUUUCACACUAUGAACCUAUAAAAUUGUAUGUACCGACAUUGACUAGAAGGGAACAUGAAAACUGUAUGAGUUCUUUGUGUGGAUUAUGAUUUCAUUGCCUUUAUUCAGAACUUUAUAAAUGUUGCUAUGAUAUCUUCUCAAUUAUGAAAAUAAUUUAAAAUUUAAACCCAUGUAAUUAAUAUCUAUGUAUAUAUUUGUGUAUGCAUAUUUCUACAUAUGUAUAUAUGUAUAUGUUUCCUAGCUCUGUCUCCUGAAAGGCCCAAGAAACAGAAACACCUCAGUAGCAAUGAGCAUAUCUCGCCUUAGUAUCUAAUACCAUUCUCCACCAACAGGAAAUGGGGGUCCUUAGAGAAGAGGCUAAUGCCAGGGCUGGAGCAGGGUAAGGACAAGAUAAACGUGGAACCUCUUAUUAGACCAGAAAGUAAGGAAGUAUUAAAAAAAAAUGAUGUAGGCAUAUCACAAAGACAUGGGAUCCACACUAAAGGUGCUCCCACUCGCUGAAUCUGGGACACCAAAAUAAUUAAAUACAGACUUAAAUAUUUAGAGGUAAAAGGUCAUGGUGUAUAUAACUUACCUUCAAGUGGUUCAGAAAAAAAAGUGUACAAAAUAUACACAUAUAGAUAGAAAGAACACAUGACAACAAAGCUAAUACAGAAAUGGAAAAACACAGGAAUUCAUAAGUUAAUGCAGAUAAUAAAUAGAUAAAUAGGGGAGAAGAGAGCUCUUAUGUUUGCAGUAGGAUGCUGUGGGCUGACUAUGCCUCCUAUGGAGAGGGUACUAGCUUUGUUGAAUCGUUGUGCAGCCAUCAUAGUAAAAUUCUAUCAGCCAUAAUGGAUGCUAAAUUUAAACUGGAAUUUAAAUAAUUUAAAAUCGAAUGAAGCUCAAGAUAUAUCUUCAAAUUUCCCCACAAAUUGCUUAUUAAUUGCCAGGAAGAAAAAACCCAGUAACUAUACAGUGGAAAAUUCAGGCCACAUUUGGACCAGGUGAUCAAAAUUAACAUCAUCCGUGAGAGACAGAUGGGUAUCAUAUGCUUCCAGAAGUGAUACCCAGAGAAGGACACAAUAUCACCUGUGCAGUAGUCCAGUUGAGAAUGCAUAAUGUCAGUUUAAUCAUGAGGAAACAUCACACAAAAACAAAACAAGGAACAUUCUAUUAAAAAGGAGAGUUGGGGGAGAAGCUGUAUUCUUAAAAAAUGUUAAGGUCAGAAAAGAUAAAGAAAGGUUGUGGAAAUGUUCCAAAGUAAAGGAAGCCUAAGAGUCAUAACAACUAAAUGUAGUACCUGACCCCAGACUGGCUCCUGUACUGGAGGGGAAAAUGCUAGAAGGAUCAACCUACAAAAUUGGAAUAUGGAUGGUAGACUGAAGUAUUAUUUUUAUGUAAAUUUACGAAGUUGAUAGGAAAUACACUCUCAAGUAUUUAGGGGUGAAGGGCCAGGAUGUAUGUAACUCAACUUCAAAUGCUUCAGAAAAAAAAUGUAUAUAAAUUUACAUAAAUGUGGAGAGAGACCUUGCUCAAGAACAAGCAAACGAUAUGGCUGUUCUUUGAAUUAUUUUUAUUUUUGCAACUUUUUGUAAAUUUGAAAUUAUUUCCAAGUAAAAGGUUUUUUAAAAUUAAGUCCACCUCACAGAAACAAGACCAAGAAGAAAAUGAAAGAUACUUUAAAACCCAUCUAAGCAAAUUGUUUUUAAAACAUUCACCAGUGUAUUCUAAGUUUUCAAGUUACUGUUCAAAAUGUUUUCUUCUUUAAGAGUCUUCAUUCUUUCUUAAAAGAUGAACAGACUAUAGCUUUCACAGUUUUAUCUAAAUAAGUUAAUAUGUUGAAGCCAACAUUCCAUCAGUUGUAGCUUACUCAUUAGAAACAGCAGGAGGGAAAAAAAGCAUUGAAAUUACAAGACCUCUGUUCUCCACACUACCCAUAUUUACCAUUCGUUUGCUGGUGAUUGCAUUCCAGUCUCCAAGUGAAACCUCAGAUUUUAAAUUAUGACUUCAGUUCUGCCCUAAUGACAAGUAAAGAAGAGUAUGCAGAGACACAAACUGGGUGUGUGGACAGGGCUGGGAAGAGGAAUGAUUAACUCUUCACUGUACUGAAAAUGAAAGAAAGCAAGCUGCAAAACUUCUGCCCUAAUUGAGCACAAUACCUAAAUAAUUGAGUUCUUUCUUCUCGUACAGUACAUGGUCACAUGGAAUAUAAAGUUGGGGGGAGGUAUUCUUACCAGUUUUUAACCUGUGAAUUUGAUGAUCUGAAGUAAAAGUGCUCUUUUUCUUUUUUUUUUUUCUUUAAAAUUCAACUCAGUAUUGUGCACCCCCUUGUGGUCAAACAUAAAAUUCUUCAUUUUCAAAACACCAUUUUUCCAGUCGGGCUUUUUGUUAAGGCAUAGGAACCGUGUUAGUUGAUUUCGUGUUCUCCCAUUUUAGUGAAUCAAGAAGCUUUAACGAAGGGGUUUUUGUUUAUUAAAUAGGAUUUUAAACAAAACAGGACUUAAAUCUUCUAAAAGUGACCUCCAUAUAAACUUUAGUCUGUGCAAAAUAGAAAAUAAUUGCACCCACCUCGUGAGUUAUUAUGAGGAUUCAAGGGGAAAAUGCAUAUACAUGCUUAGCUGACACAUAGUAGGUACUCAAUAAAUGUUAUUAUUUGUCAACAACAUCAUCAUCACUUUAGAAUUCUCUUGACAGAAUACAUCUAAAAGGAGGUUAGAUCAAAAAUUCACCCAUUCAUGAAGUUCUAGUACAAUCUUGCAAAUAAGUUCCCCAAAUAUACCACUUAUCCAGAAUUCCCCUAUCCAAUUCUCCCCAUAGGUAUAUUUUUUAAGUACAAAGAAUAGGUGUUUAUCUCUGGAUGGCAGAAAUUUAGAUGGUUUUUACUUUAUCUAUUUUUGAUGGGCCUGAUUUUCUCCCUUAUUUUCCUUUAACUUUACCAAUCGGAAAAGGCAAUAAAACUAUUCCAUUUCCAUAUGUUACUCUUAUGAAAUAGUAAAACAAAUUAACAUCCUUAUUCAUCUGACAGAAAUUGUUACUCAUAUCUGGCAAAAAUAAUUUGUCAGGCUGACUUAUUUUAAGAAGCUCUUGAACACAAAUGCUAACUCCUAAUGGCACUAACUGUAGUUUGAUUUUUAAAACACUUCUCAAGAAGCCAUUUUAAAAGAUCAGUGUUAAUGACUGACUCAUAACAAUAGCUAACAUUUACUAACAUACCAACCGCUGUUCAAAUGUCUUUAAUAUAUUAGCUCAUUUACAUUCUUACAACAACCCAAUGAGGUAACUAGCAUUACUCCUUUUACAAAAGAUCAAAAUGAGAAAAAGUAACUCAUGUAGGGUCACAAAGCUAGUAAGUAGCAGAGCUGAGAUCCAAACCCAAGCAUUUUGGGUCCAGAGGCCACUCACUUACCCAGUGCACAAAAGUGUCAUAGAGAUGUAAACCAAGCAUACUACUCUGCUGUGUUAAUUCAUGAUGAUCUCAAAUUACGAAAAUCCAUUUCUUUUCCAAUUGUACCUCAAUAAUGCAAAUCACACUAGCCUUCUCCCAUUUCCUUACUUAGUACUUCAGGCACUUCCUAUAUGCAUUGUCUUAUUUAACCCUCUCAAUGAUAUACAUCUUUGUAUAUUCAAACAGUUAUGGUUCAUCACAAGUUGUUUUGCAGCAAAAACUGGAAAAAACAUAGCAACACCCCAGAUUUUAAACUGCUGUAUUAUUUAGAAAAUUCGUUACAACUUGGGAUCAGAAAAAAAGUAACCAGUCAAAAAUAAUCUUAAAAUGGAAUCAUUUAGGAUCUAUGGCAGUUUUGGUUUCUUUUAAAAUUUUCAUCUUAACUAGCUUGGUGGCAAGUAGGAUAAAUCUCCCAAGUAAAUAAAUGGUUAAAAGAGGUUUUUAAGGAAGGUGUUAAAAUAGUGACAACUUAUCAUCAUUUAUUGUCCUAUCAUAGCACCCAGUUUUUGAAGGUGGACACAGAUUUGUCUAGGUCUUGUGCUUCUACUUACUAAUUCUAAGACUGUGGGGCAAGUUUCUUAAUCUGAGUCUCGGGUGGCCUCAUGUGUAAAAUGAGGAUAAAACUUACUUCAUAGGGCUGUUGUGAGUAAUAACCACGAUCAAUCUGUAAAGCGUUUAUUUAGCACAGUGCCCAGGCCAGAGUACGGUCAGUACGUGGUCUCUAGCUACUACUUUAUCAAUGCAUGUCACAGCAGAAACCUGUCUUUGCUAGAUUCAGCUCCCUUACCACCCAUUUUUUUAAAAAAUCACCCUAAGUAACAUCCAAAGACUGUCCAUUCACCCAUUCACCUCUCCAAAACUGAGCAGAAUGCUUAAGAACCAAUAACAAGUAAGAUAGUGAGAGAAACUGGAUUCGAUGGAAGCGCCUUCGCAACAGGCAGCCUAGAACCGGGAAGAAGGGCUCCACACUCUUUAAGUAAUCCUUAACUCCAGGCUGCGCGCACGCACACACACACACACACACACACGGUUGUUGAGCAGGGGAAACCACGCCUCCUGUGUGUGCUCAGGUUGGAUCCCACAGCAAGGUAGAGAAAGGCCUGCGCUCAGAAUCUGACAGAUGCGGACUUAACCACGUGCUUGCUAUCUGUGCUACCUUAGGCAAAUUACUUAAAGUCUCUGAACCUUGGUUUCCUGGUCUGCAAACCGAGAAUAAUAAUAGUACCUACCUCAUCAAGUUGUUCUGAGGCUUAAGUGCGAUAGCUCCUGUAAAGCGUUGACGUACAGCAAGAGCUCUGCACACAGGCGGGGCUGUUUUAAGUACACGUGUAUCCACACUCAUAGUCUCAGAGACACAUUCCGUCGUUAGGAGUUUAGACACUGGCAAUAAGACGAUUUUCUUUUCGCCUAAGCUGCACCCUUAUUUGUUUCCCUCGAACAGUAAAUGCAUGCCUAUCGACUGAUAUGUCAUCUGUGGACCCUAGGGCCCGCAGUCCUCGUGGUCCCUCCACCUCCGCGGCUGAGCAAAGGAGCUGAACGCACGCGCAAGAAAAGAAACAGGACUGCGACGGAGGAAGCGAAGGGAGAGCGGCGAACAGCGAUGAUUCUGCGCAUGUUCAAGGCGCGGGGGUUGGGCGGGAGAGACGGGAUAACCUGUCCGAGAGUAUAGCGCCGCUAGGACUCCGCCGAAAAAUCACUAAAAAAAUCGCCAAAAAUUACUUGAAGCAAAGGGCAGUCCGCAGAGCUUCGCCAGGGUUGGCGCAGUCGUCUUUGAAACAUGUCUCAAGGAAAAAGGCAAUCUGUGAAACUAUUGAUGUUUUCCUCCCGAAACGUCUUUUUACCCGGGCAACUUAACGGUUUUGACCUUUAGGAGAGAGCCAAUUCUGGAGAACAACCUAACUUCUUUGAUUGAACACUCACAUAAUGCAUUGGAACAUGAUAGGAGAUUAAGGUUUAAUAAUGAUAAAAUGAAGACCAUAAUAAAACAGCCCCCUACUUAGCCCAGCAAUUCUUACUUUGUAAGUAUUAACUCACAGUCCCUCUACUGUUGCUAUAAAAAGUUACUCUUUGGUCUCAUGUUUAGCUUUAUUUCUCAGUUUUUUUCUGCUAUCCUAGAUUGACAACUUUCUAACUUCCCCUUAACCCCUACACGUUGUAGUUUGGUAUUUAAUCCAGUUUAGAGCAAGAAUGCCACUGCCUUGGGUAAGUUUUCUAUCUUGGAAAUUAGUUACAGCCAGGCCCUGUCAUCUCUAAAUCUGAGAAUCACAAUUUUAAGCCCUUUUCCUUCAAAGUAAUUUACAAAUAAGUAGUGGUCUUUUUUAUCAUUAUUAUUCAAGUUUAUUGACAGUUGUUUUAUGGUUUUAUAAGUUGGAAGUAUCCUCUCCACUUGAAAAAUAGUUUUUUCAUUUAUUUGUUUUUAUGUUUCAGUAGAUUACACUUCACACUUCUUUGUGAGAUGCUUAAAAUUUAGCUCUUAAGCUUUAGGAGGUGAAAAAGCAGAAAGACAAUCCCUUUUCCUUCUGUUUAUGUAGACACGUGCAUACCUCUUAGAAUAAGAAACGUUUUUAUCAUGAUUCAUUUAACUUUUGAGAAACUUGUAAAUUCUAGGGGAAUAAUUCUAACAGGUUAGCUGAAAUUAUCAUAUCAUAUCCCUAGAAAAACUCUCAAAUCAAAGUCAUGGUAAAUGCAUAAGAUAGUUAUUUCCGUUAAAAGUUUUUGAGACUCUAAAAUCAAUUACCAAAAAGAUUCGUUUUCAUCUAUUCCUUAAGCUAAUUCUAUGUCUCUAAAUGAAAAAACUUCAAGGGCAGCUGUUUCUGUUCUUGAUGUUGAGGGAUGGCCCUGUUUAAAUGAAAACUUAGUGUUUCAGAUGCUUCUCUUACAUUAUCUCAUACAAUUACAUUAAUGACCCAGUAAAUAAUAAUGUGUUGAGGAGUGACCAUAUGAUCAUAGAACAUGAGCCACUGAACUCAAUAAGUAGUUUUAAGGGCAGUAAUUAAAUAUUGAAAACUUUUAAUAAUGAGUCAGUUUGAAGAGUAGUAGCCAAAUGCCACAGGUCACUUCUUUUUCUGACGUUUCCGUUUAUAUUUUUGUCUCUGGAAAACUAGAAUGGAAACAUUUGCAAAUCCCCAAAGAAUCCUAUAUAAUCCAGGCUUGGGUUUCUUAAUUGGUCCCUUGAAAGCUAGCUCAGCUUUUUUUCAACUUAACUCUUAGGAAAAGGAAUCUUUUUCAAUUGGUAUUACUCUCCUACUGUAGACUGGAGGACAGUCCACUUUUCAAAAAGAAAUAGGUAUCGUUUAACUUCUAACAGAUUUAUAAGUACAGAUAAUGUCAC
rnacentral:lncRNA from 1 species